CCUGGCUCAGGAUGAACGCUAGCGGCAGGCUUAAUACAUGCAAGUCGAGGGGCAGCACGAAUAGCAAUAUUUGGUGGCGACCGGCGCACGGGUGCGUAACACGUAUACAACCUACCUAUAACAGGGGGAUAGCCUUUCGAAAGAGAGAUUAAUACCCCGUAAUAAAUUGAGUGGCAUCACUUGAUUUUGAAAGCUACGGCGGUUAUAGAUGGGUAUGCGUCUGAUUAGCUAGUUGGUGAGGUAACGGCUCACCAAGGCGACGAUCAGUAGGGGAUCUGAGAGGACUAACCCCCACACUGGUACUGAGACACGGACCAGACUCCUACGGGAGGCAGCAGUAAGGAAUAUUGGUCAAUGGAGGCAACUCUGAACCAGCCAUGCCGCGUGCAGGAUGACGGCCCUAUGGGUUGUAAACUGCUUUUGUACCAGAGAAAACCUACUCACGUGUGAGUAGCUGAUAGUAUGGUAAGAAUAAGCAUCGGCUAACUUCGUG
rnacentral:rRNA from 1 species